CUGUGGCACGGUGGCAGAAUGGUUGCGUGCCUUUGCAUUUCGAAAAUCGAGAAUAUCUUACCAUAAACAUGGCUGACGAUUUCGCGCGAAGCAAACUGUCAAAGUUAUGGAGCUGUUAAGAGGUUACAAUUUUAACUGUACUAAUUAAACUUGCGUGUGUAUUUAAAUGAUACGUUGUGAAAAUAAAUUGUAUGUCUGUCACAUAGUUAAUUUAAGCGAUGGAUAAUAAAUUAAAUAUGCUGUCAAUGUGUCUUGAACUGAACAGCUGUAGCGGAUUGGCUGAUAAACUGCAUUUGCAUUACAUAGUAUCUGCUUUAGGAAUGGGUAAACUAGUUGUCAGGCCUAUCUGAAACACUUUCACUAAGUCGACAUUUAUUGCUAUUAGAAAACAUGUACGCGCUGUAUCCGGUUGUUAAGGGGAGAGAGUGUAAGAAGAUGACGACUAAAGGCCUCUGUACGAAAAGCAAAGUAGUAAUUUCUUUUUUUACAGCUAUUGCGUAUUUACGUAUUUUGUGUACAAUAUGCAUAGGUAGUAAUAGGUACUUAAUGUCUAUAAUACUUUACAUUUUAUUUGUCAAGUUUCAUGCCUAGCGCUUAGGUACGUUGCUGUUAUUGAACAUUGUUUUUUUAGUUACAGUCAGUUUAUUUAGAUACGGAUUGACCUAUCACUUAACUAUGUCACCUUUUCAGGUUUUAAAGAGUUUCAAACAACCAUAAUUAUAUCGGUCAAUCUGGUGGUGCGGUGCGGAUCAAGUUUAUUGAGUCUAACACUACCUUCUUCCUCGCUCGCGGACGUUGGUAUCCAUGAGGAAUAAAUAAAUGCACAAAAAAAAAGAAGAAGAAGCACAGCCACGUCCACAAAAGCAACAGUUCAGCUUUCAGGCUAUGCUCGAAGAACCCUAUUUUACAUAACCCUAUAGAAAACUGCUGACUUAAUAUAAUACUACCCCCAAAAGCAUGACACACUUGACCUAUUACCGUGUCCUUUAUCACGAAGUACUUUAGUUGAGUUCAAGCCAAUUAUUUUUAAGCUUAAAGUUUAAGAUUCUUAGAAAAGUGCUGGUUCGAUGUUAUGUUAUUUAUGAAUUUAAAUAAACCGCUCAAGUGCAGUUCGGACUCGCAACCCUGGGUUUUGUAUUAUAAAUUGGUCAGCCACAUUUUUUACUGUACUAGUAGUGGCUAAAACUUGAUUUAAUUUGUUUUUAUUGUUAUUAUAGCUUCAACAGAACAACGCCGUCCGUAAAUAUUUCCAAUGUCUAGCUACGACGGUUCUUGAGAGAUCAGACAGACGGAUAGAUCGCGGAGCCUACAUAAUGGGGAUUUUUCAAACUAUGUGAUUUGAUUUUUUUUCGUAACGAAUUUUAUGAUAUCAAGUGGUGGGUAGUGUAAUUAAAAUGAUUUUUUUAUUUGAUUACAUAUUCUUGAAAUAUCCCUCAAGUGCAAAGUUCCUCUUUUCCUAUCGCCAGAAAAACACCAUGAGGACAAGAACACCCCGUGAAUCUCAGUGAGGUUCAGUUGGGUCUCAACUAGGUUGUAGUUUUCCCGACUCCAGAAAUGUAUGCAUGUCAUUGAAGUCCUUCUAAUCUGAUGGCGUCCAUGGUAUACGGAGGAAUGAGAACCUGGUGUGAGGAUGGAGUUGAGCAUAGAUGUGAAUGGAUGGAUUGUGCGAAAGAGUUGGUGCAAUAUGGCUGCAAACAGUUUUCAUGGGAGAUAAUUUUAGAUAUGAGUUAUAGAAGAAGACAUGUUGAGUAGAUUUAAAUUUAAUCCAAUUGUCAUUCAUUCAUCAGCCAUUGUCGAGAUAUUGUAUAGAUUAAAAAUAAGCCCAAAAGAACUAAGAACCGCCAGAUCAGCAAUUAGCUUAUUACUAUUGUUGUACGUCAAAUUGUGUAAGUACGUUUAAUCCAUCAACUUACCUUCUUAAAUAGUCAGU